rnacentral:lncRNA from 1 species
ACAACUGGACACGCCCCAACACUGAGGUAUUAAAAUACCCCCCCUCUCCCCAGCGCAGCUCUAGGGCCAGACGUGCCCUGCCCCAGGCUGUCCUUGUGUGGAGGCCGGGGGAGUGCAGGCAGGGCUGAGCACCCAGGCUGCUGUGACACGCCACCUCCCUGCAUUCCUCCUGCAAGGGAACCAGCCUCCGGCCCAACCCCCGCCCCAGAGCACGAGCCAUUCGGGGGAAGGGAAACCUGCGGCCCGGGGAGGAGACGCCGGAACCGAGUUGCUGCGGAACUGUAGGUGCGAGGCUCAGGGAGUGAGGGGGAUACACAUUCUGCAGGACCUGGAGCGCGGGGGACGCGUUUGCCUGCCUGGCGCGCCCCGCUCUUCCGGCCGGGUGUCCGCUGUCGGGGCCGGGCGGCGGGCGAGGAUGUGCUCGGCGCUGGGGAAGGUGCUCUGCCUGGGGAAGGAAAUGUUUCUAAAACAGGCAUUUGCUCUUAGCAGAGUAACAGCGUCCAGAGAGAGCCCCAUCUGUGCUGUAGGUAAGAACUCACUGUAGAUUUUGAAUACAAUACACUAAAAACCUUCUUGUACCCGAAACAAAUAUUCACACUUGAGCCAUCAUGUCACCUUGCUGUUUAAUUCUUUAAACCACAUUUGAGCUGAUUGAUGGUGUUAUA